GUAAGGAAUAUUGGACAAUGGACGCAAGUCUGAUCCAGCCAUGCCGCGUGAAGGAUUAAGGUCCUCUGGAUUGUAAACUUCUUUUAUAAGGGACGAAAAAAGGCUUUUCUAAGUCGUCUGACGGUACCUUAUGAAUAAGCACCGGCUAACUCCGUGCCAGCAGCCGCGGUAAUACGGAGGGUGCAAGCGUUAUCCGGAUUCACUGGGUUUAAAGGGUGCGUAGGCGGGCAGGUAAGUCAGUGGUGAAAUCCUAGAGCUUAACUCUAGAACUGCCAUUGAUACUAUCUGUCUUGAAUAUUGUGGAGGUAAGCGGAAUAUGUCAUGUAGCGGUGAAAUGCUUAGAUAUGACAUAGAACACCUAUUGCGAAGGCAGCUUACUACCCAUAUAUUGACGCUGAGGCACGAAAGCGUGGGGAUCAAACAGGAUUAGAAACCCCGGUAGUCC
rnacentral:rRNA from 1 species